GGGAAUGUGGCUUAGUGGUAGAGUGCUUGCUUAGCAUGCAUGAAGGCCUGAGUUCGAUUCCCCAGUACCA
rfam:Dipodomys ordii contig_72084, whole genome shotgun sequence.